rnacentral:rRNA from 1 species
CUCGCCUACGGGACGCAGCAGUGGGGAAUAUUGCACAAUGGGGGGAACCCUGAUGCAGCGACGCCGCGUGGGUGAAGGAGUGCUUCGGCAUGUAAAGCCCUAUCGGCAGGGAAGAAGCAAGACGGUACCUGACUAAGAAGCCCCGGCUAACUCCGUGCCAGCAGCCGCGGUAAUACGGAGGGUGCGAGCGUUAAUCGGAAUUACUGGGCGUAAAGCGCUCGUAGGCGGUAUGUCAAGUCAAGGGUGAAAUCCCCGCGCUCAACGUGGGAACUGCCUUUGAAACUGGCAAAAUGGAGUGUGUGAGG